AAAAUGGUGAGGCGAUGAUGGAACGAGGAAUCGCAGCGGAGAAGGUGCUCCCUGCCUGAUAUGCGUCAUUCUCCCACUUUGUCGCCUCAGGCUGGCCCCGCUCUGCCGUUCCCGCUGGGCUCGAGGAGACUUGGCAGAGAAGAAACUGAGACUCGGAGAGGUUAAGUGACUUACUCAAGCAUACAAAGCAGGAGAUCCAGGAUCUAAACGGUGUACUAUGACUCUGAAGCCCAGCAUUUUCCUAUUUUGCUUCCUGACCUCCCCAAACUACGCUUUUCUUACACAGAGCAUCUGCUGUACUUCAAGAGCAAAGGCCAGAGGAAACUUGGUAUAUACAGAAAUGUGAAAGAAGGAAAAUAACCAUCCACCACUCAAAGACAAUCACUUUUGACAUCUUGAUGUGGAAACUCAGUUCUGAAGAAGCAAAGUGAUCCUUUCAAGCAUAUAUAUUGGUCAGAAGGCUGAGAAGUCCGAGAUCAAGGCACUGGCAGAUUCAUUGUCUGGUUAGCACCUUGGUGCACACCUUCUGGGAAGUCUACAGGUCCACCCCGUUCUACCACCUGGGAGGGAGAAGAGCUGGUCCUGGCCCAUCCAUCCACCACACAGCCGAUAUCAACUGAGUGUCUGAUACUUCGCUCCGGUGAGCAUAUUCAAAGGGGGAGAGAGAAUCCCAAGCAGGCUCCAUGCUCAGCAUGGAGCUCAACACAGGGCUUGAUCCCACAACUGUGAGAUCAUGACCAGAGCAGUAAUCAAGGGUUGGUCACUCAACUGACUGAACCACCAGGUACCCUGAAAUAUGAUUCCUUCUUAUAUAUUGAUUUUGUAUCCUGCAAUCUUGAACUUACUAAUUCUAGUACUUUUUAAAGGUAGAUUCUUUUGGAUUUUAUAAAUAGAUGAUUGUGUCAUUUGAAAAUAAUGGUAGUUUCAUUUUUUUUCCUAUCUGACUGAGGUUUAUUUCUCUUUCUUUCUCUGUUGGUAUGACUCUUUCUCUAUAAACAAACAAAUAUUUAAAAAUUCUUACUGUGUUUCAUAUUUGAUAGUUUCUAUUUUUAAUGUGAAAUUUACUAAUCUUUUCAUCUGUGAUGUCUAACCUGCCAUUAAUCCCAUUCCAUAAAUUUUUCAUCUCCCAAAUUGUAGUUUUCUUAUCUAGAAAUUCAAUGUUUUUUCCUUUGCAUGCUUGUACUUAACUUUCUGAAUCUCAAGAAUGCAGUUAUAAUAAUUAUUUUAAUGUCUUUACCUGCCAAAUUUAAUACCUGGAUCAGUUCAGGGUCGUUGUUUGAUAUCCACCCCCAAACCCCCCCAUUAUAGGGAGUUAAUAACUAUUGGAACUAACUCCUGAGUGAGAUUUAAAAUUUUCCUGGUUUAACAACUGAUUAGCAGGCCAAAAAUUAAACAGUUCAAAUUAUAACGUAAAUCAGAAGAGCCAUGAAGAAUGUCUUUAAAGAGAGGCAUAUACAUUAUUAAUUGGUUGUUGGGAACCUGGAAGUACAAAGUACAUUACUGAUGAGAAGUAGAUGAAUGAGAGGUGACAACAGCUGCAACAACAGGGAAAUACAAUUAGAAAUUCAGAAAAAACUAAGUACAUACGAGAAAGUCAUGUUCUAAAAAUGAAGUAAAUUACACUGUAUGAGAUGAGCCAUUGAUGGAAAUGGAAAAGCAGCAUUUUUUGAAAUAAUGAAGUAAGAUUUCAAAUAUUUCAGAAAGAUGAAGAGAACGAACUGAUGUUUUGUAUUCAUGCGUCAUUUCUUUGGGCUUGUUGUAAUUACUAGAUUUAAUAAUAUUCCUGCAAUGUAUUUAGUUUUUCCCUCUUGAAACUAAUUUGUCUUUUUUAUAGACUAUGUUUUCUUUCAGAGCAACCUGUCCCUAUUAAUUUCCUUUAAAGUUUCAAGCUUUGUUCUCUUUUUAAAUAAAAAAAAAUUUUGUUCUUGUUGUUUAAUCUUAGUGGUAUCUUCAGAUGCUUAAGAGACAUUUGAUGAAGUGUUACUUCUUGGAAAAUUAAACUUAUGCCCAUUAAGAAACACAUAUUGAAAAACUUUCACGCAACUACUUAACCCUCUUAAUCUCUUAAUGAUUUUCUUAAAUUUUUUUUAACAUCAAAGAAAAAAAUUGGGGGAUGGAAAAGUUCUUGUUUCAAAGAAAUUAUUUUCUGAAGUUCAGUGAUGCCUAAGGUUUUUUUUAGUACAUUUUUUUCUGUCACAUUGACAAUAAAAUUAUAUCUCAUAGUUUUUAUUUAAGAAGAAAAGAUAUAUAUUGACAGCCUUUGUGUUGGGUAAGAAGUUUAUCAUUCAUUUAUUUCUUUCCUAACUCCUCUCCCAAGUCCUAGAUUUUAUUUAUAAAAUUGGACGUCUUAUAAUCAGAUUAUUUUUGUUAUCUUUUAGAUUACUAGCUUUCUGACUACAGAAUUACAUUUGGCAUUAUUUUUACUUCUAAAAACAGUGAAUAGCAAUUCUUUUUUAUUAGAUGUACUGCAGGUGGUUGUCCCUGGGGAGCAGACAUGGAGAUAUAUUACAGUUCAGUUUGUUCCUCUGCCCAAUGCUGCUUUCCAGGACCCUUGUUCCUAGAGAAGAUUUCCUACAUCUUCCCUUUUAGGCUUCUCCCUCAGAUGCCACCACCAUUGCUGUUUCCUCUUAUUGAAAUUUUUUCAAUUUUGUCCUUCAGAUUUCUGCAAUAUUCAAUCUGUUAUUCAUUUGUUUUUAUGACUGCUUUUAAUUCUCACAAUAAUGGCUUGCUUGUUUUAAGUCUCCAUGAAAUCUUUCCUUCUUUUAUAUUGCUUUCUCUUUAUUACUAAUGGUUUUAGUUUUGUAAAUAAAAUGUUCUUUCUUGAGAAUUCUAAAAGAAACAAGAACAUUUGGGGGACAUUUCUCCUUCAAAGAAGACUUUUUUUUUCUCCAUUAGAGUGAUCUUUUUCUUUGGGAGUAUUUACAUAUAUUUUAGAUUAUAUUUUAAUUUACUUAUUGGUUUUUUAGCUAGAAUAUUUGUAUUACAUUUUAUUGCUUGCUAUAAGGUGUAUAAUUUACAUCUGUAACUGUUCAUUGUCUGUCUAGAAUUAAUAUUAACAAGAAUAGUAUUCACUUCACAUGAAAUGUAAAAAUAUUUCAACCAUAAAGGUCCAUUUAUUCCCACCCAGAUCCAGAUUCUUUAGGCUAUGUUUGUUAUAUGUAUUUCAUCUGCAUACAUUAUAAACUCCAACAAGGUAAUGCUGUUGUUUUGCUUUAAACAAUUUAAUGUAUUUUAAUGGGAAUGAGAAGAAUAAAUAGUCCUAUACAUUUACUAGGUAUUAACAAUUUCUGAUGCUUUUCAUUCCUUGCUGCAGAUUUUUAUUUCCAUUUGACUUCAUUUUCCUUUAGUCUGAAGAAUGUCACCUGAUUGCUCUGAUAGCUCACAUCUACUGCCGAUGAAUUCUUUUAACUUUCUUGAUUUUGUCUCCUUUUUUGAAGGAUAUUUUUGCUGGAUAUAGAAUCCUGGGUUGACUUUUUUUAAUUUUUUUUUCCUUUCAGGACUUUAAAGUGAUUCUCUCUUUAUCUUUAACAUUUAGCGGUUUGACUAUGAUGCUGCUGCUACACAUCGUUUUCCUUGUGUUUAUUCUGCCUAGAGUUGAAUCUGCCUAAAGUGAGUUUGUAAAUUUAUGUUUUUCACCCACAUUGGAAAACUUUUGGCCAUUAUUUUUCAAAUAAUUUUUUAUUACUCCUUUCCACACUUUUCUCCUUCAAUGACACAAAUUAUAUAUGUUUUAGACCUUUUGAUAUUGUCUUAUGGGUCUCUGAAAGCUCUGUUUAUUUUUUCUUCCAAUACUUUUUCUUACUUUUUCAGGGCGAGUAAUUUCUAUCACCUAAUCUUUGUUCUUUCCUUUGUCAUCUCCAUUGUAUUGUUAGGUCCAUGCAGUGAUUAAAAAAAAAUGUUUUGAUUUUUUAGUUCUUGAAUUUAUAUUUGGUUUUUAAAAUAUAGUUUCUAUAUGUCUGGUGGGAUUUUCUAUCAUUUUUUUUUUCAUUGCAAGCAUAAUUUUCUUUAACUCAUCAAGUAUAGUUACCACAGUUGCUAAUCUAGCAUUUGGGUCAUUUUGAAGUUGCUCUUCAUUUAUUUUUCUCUUGAGAACAAGUCGUCACAUUUUCCUGGUUCUUUGUGUGUUGAAUAAUUUCAUCCUUGACAUCGUGAAUGGUAGGUGUGGAUUCCAUUAUAUUCUUCUACAAAUUUAUUUUGCUGGUAUUGUUUUAUUAGGCAAUUAACAUGAUAAUACUAAAAAUGCAAAUUCUGUUUUUUUGAUAACAACUCAAACCUUAAUUCAUUUGUUUUAUCUUUUAGUUGGAGUUUGCCCCAUAUAUGUGUGGUUCAGGAGCUAACCAGAGAUUUAGAUGGAAUUUAUACACAGAGUUUGAGGUUCUUCCACUCUGGCUCCCUUUUUUCUGGGAUCAUCCCUCAAUUUUCAGGGACUGUGGUUCUCUAACACUGUCAUCUGGUUCUUCAGGCCAGACAGGUUGUGAUUUUCUGUUGGAGUUUUAGCUUCUCUGAACAGUUACUUACUGCAGCCUGCCUUCAACCUAAACACUAUAAAAACGGCAAUUUGACAUGUGCUCAUUCCUUUUUACACUCUUUUAACACUCCUCCAUAAUCUACCUGCUUUUGUUCAUUCUCUGGUGCUUUUGGAUAGUUCGCCUUUUGUAUUUUGUGCAAAGUUCAUAGCUGACAUCUGCAAGAGAAUCAGUCUGGUUGGAACUUACUUUGUCAUAACCGGAAUUGGAACCAAAUUCUUUUCUUUUGAAUCACAGAAUCUUUAUCAAGACAGUAAUUUUCCUGUGCUUACUCAUCUUUAAGAAGUCAAUCUAUGCUUGACAUUUAUCAGCUUACUGUAAAGCAAGAGUUGGAAUGACUUUUUGAAGAGAUUGUUGUGGUCAGUUUCUCAACCCCCAAGUGCAAAAUGAAGAAAAAAGUGUAAAGUAAAAGUUUACUUAUUUUGUAAAUCUGUGUUUUUAGUGUAGAGAUGCUGAAGGCUUAAGGGAGUGAAGAGGCAGCUGGAGCCAGGAGCAAAAUCUACAGGGGAUUUUGUCUCUGUGCCAAAGGGUUUCUCUUUUGUGUUUGGUAUGGGAUAGUCUUCAUAUGUUUCUGAUUUUUUGCCUGGCAGGGCAACCUAUACCAUAUAUUAUGUUGGAACUAAGCCUCGCCUAUCCUCAGCUCAGUACAUGAAUUAACUUUCUAAUAACUAGAGGUUGCCAGUACUGAGUUUGAUCCCACGUAAAUAGUGAGUUGUUUAUCACUGGAAUUAUUCAAAUAGAAGUUUGAUGAUCAUCCAUACUUUCUUAUUAUUACCUCUACUUUUAUUAUGAGAGGUAGUGGGAGAAUAUGUUACUGUGUUCCACCUGGUACAUAGUAGGUGCUCAAUAACUAAAGGUUGCAUAAACAAGUAUUUAUUGAACUCAUUGCAUGAAUGAAUUGAAAAAGAGGGGUUUUUUUUCUGCAACAUGGGAAAGCAUUUUGCAUUUUGAAGGGCAAGGACUGAAGAAUUAGGGUAAAUAUUAUCUAAUGUCUUUACUUUAGAAUAUUCUGGUGGAAGAGGACAUGAAUAGGGCAUUAGAACAUUUUUAAAAAAGCAAUUAUUUGAUUACAAUCAGUUAUUUGAAACAAUCAGCAUAUGAAACUGAAAAUACCUAUUUAAAAAUAAUUUGAAAUUAUCACUGUAGAAGAAAUUUGGACCAUGAUGGGAUGGCUCAUGGCAUGCUCUCAGAGCCUAGAAGAGUUCGUGUGUUUAACUCUGCAUCUUUCUUUUGUUAGUUCUUUAUGUUCUCAAAGAAAAAGCUGUUAGAGUGUUACACAAUUGGAACACUCAAACAGGUGUUCCUUGUCUUCUGGUCUAGCUAUCAGAUAAUCAUUACAAACAGUACCAAAAUGAGUCUUAUUUCCUAUUAAGAAAGGUUAGAACAGACUUGGUGUUUGUAAUUAGUCAUACUCAGGAAGCAGUGUGCUUUAUCUGAAGAUGUUGGCGCAGUCAUAUUGACUUUUCAAAAACAUUUGUAACCAUAAGGUGAUCUGGACACUAGAAACUACCUGGAAGAUUUUAAUUGCUUUAGGGAUUUCAUCUAAUUUUUACAGUUACUCCAGCCAUGGCUGUUAUUCAAUUCACACCUCCUUCCCUUACCUGCCCCACUUCAUUAGUUGAACAAAGCAAGAUUGCAUAAUAGUACAAUAGAAUACCAUUCACAUAGUAAGUGUCCAUUAAAUAUUUGAAUGGAGAAAUGAAUGGUCUAUUUUAUUCAUCAGGUACCUGGAAACUAAAGUUAAAUAAUUCUUCCCUCAUUUAAAGUGGCACAGACAGAUGUUUAUAAGCUUGGGUAGGAAAGUAACUUUGCUCUAAAAUACUAUAAGCUGUCGUCUAAUGUACACUUUGAUAUGUGCCAGGCCCCUUCCUAGAUAAUUCAUAAUUUCAUUUAUACUUUAUAAUACCUUACGCGCUAGGCAUUGUUAUCCUCAUUUUACAGAGAGAGAGAGACUGAAGCAUUAGAGACUUUGGGUAAAUAGCUCAUGACCAAUCGCUCAAGAAGCUGCAGAGCCAGGAUUUGAACCCCAGGACACCUGGCAUCAAGUCUGAGCGCUUAACCACUGACUUAGACUGCAGUAGGAAAUACAGCUGAGCAACAUUAGAACCUGUGAAAUCACUUCAAGUCCUGAGGGAAACUGAGGUGAAAAGAGAAUGAUCUAAUGAAGGCAAAUAUGGCUUUUGUCUAAUUUUUACCUGAGACCAUGAGCAUAUGUCUGUUCUCUAAAUUAUCGUAGGCAAUAUAGUAAUCUCUCCCCGAUUCCUUCUCAGAUUAUUAGAGCUGAGAAUUUAUGGAAAGUAUAGUGCUUCAAAACUGACAACCAAGGAAGUAGCUGUCAGUGGAAGCAAAUCUGACUUCCCCUUACAACCUCUUUCGUGUCGCAGAUCUGGCAGGACAUAGUCCAAGGCAUCCACACUAUUGCCUGUAUGGCCUCUGCUGAUGGUUAAGUAUUUAAUUCAAUAAUGUGUUGAGCAGCUACUGUACUACAUUAUAUUAAUUAUUUUUUUUAAUGUGGAAACAUAGAUAUGACAUAAAAUUUGCCAUUUUAAUCAUUUUAAGUGUACAAUUCAAUGGUAUUAAUUACAUUCAUAAUGCCACACAAUCAUCACUACUCUCUGUUUCUAAAAACCCUUUCAUAAUCCCAAACAGAAACUCUGUACCCCUUGUGCAAUAACUCCCCCCAUUACUCUCUUCCCUCGUCUCUGGUAAUUUCUAAUAUACUUUCAGUCUCUAUGAAUUUGCCUAUUCUAUACAAAGGUGGCAGUUUCUCCACAUCCUUACCAACACUUAGCUCCCUUUUAAAAAAAUGAUAGCCAUCUUAGUAGGUAUGAAAUGGUAUCUCAUUUUGGUUUUGAUUUUCAUUUCCCUAGUGACUAAUGAUGUUGAACAUCUUUUUAUGUGCUUAUUGGCCAUUUGUAUAUCUUCUUUGGAGAAAUG